UUAGAGCUUUAAUCAUUUUUUAAAUCUUAAUAAAAAAUUACUUUCAAAUCCAAUUUACAGAAUCCGUUUCAAAAAUCUGACCACAGAUAUUAACAAUGUAAUCCACCUCUCCUUGAAUAUAAGCUACAUCUUGACUUGAUAUCAUUUCACUAAACAUUCUGAACAUUACAAUUCAACAAAAAUAUUCAAUCCACAGCGAUAUAUAAGCUAAAACCCCAAGUAAUUUAAAUCGUGGAGUAUCAAUUACAGGGCAGAUUCCUCUGAAUAGACUAAAAUACCGCCAUCUUUAUUAAUUUUCAAGAACUUAACUACUAAUAAUCUAGG
rnacentral:rRNA from 1 species